GCUAAACGCGAAGAACCUUACCCGGUCUUGACAUCCUGGGAACCCUUUGGAGACAGAGGGGUGCCGCAAGGAGCCCAGAGACAGGUGCUGCAUGGCUGUCGUCAGCUCGUGUCGUGAGAUGUUGGGUUAAGUCCCGCAACGAGCGCAACCCUUGUCCUUAGUUGCCAUCAUUAAGUUGGGAACUCUAAGGAGACCGCCGGUGACAAACCGGAGGAAGGUGGGGAUGACGUCAAGUCAUCAUGGCCUUUAUGGCCAGGGCUACACACGUGCUACAAUGGCAGGUACAGAGGGAAGCCAACCAGCAAUGGGGAGCCAAUCCCAGAAAGCCUGUCUUAGUCCGGAUUGCAGUCUGCAACUCGACUGCAUGAAGUUGGAAUCGCUAGUAAUCGCAGAUCAGCAUUGCUGCGGUGAAUACGUUCCCGGGUCUUGUACACACCG
rnacentral:rRNA from 1 species